UGGGGUGUGGCUCACUUGGUAGAGUGCUUGCUUGACUUGGAGGAAGCUUGAGUUCAAACUUCAACACCACAU
rnacentral:tRNA from 1 species